UACGUAGGGUGCGAGCGUUGUCCGGAAUUACUGGGCGUAAAGAGCUCGUAGGUGGUUUGUCACGUCGUCUGUGAAAUUCCGGGGCUUAACCUCGGGCGUGCAGGCGAUACGGGCAAUACUUGAGUGCUGUAGGGGAGACUGGAAUUCCCGGUGUAGCGGUGAAAUGCGCAGAUAUCAGGAGGAACACCAAUGGCGAAGGCAGGUCUCUGGGCAGUUACUGACGCUGAGGAGCGAAAGCAUGGGUAGCGAACAGGAUUAGAUA
rnacentral:rRNA from 1 species